GCUUGGCCCUAAACCUCAGUAGUUAGAUAACAAAACUACUCGCCAGAAUACUACGAGCUACAGCUUAAAACUCAAAGGACUUGACGGUGCUUUACACCCCCUAGAGGAGCCUGUUCCGUAAUCGAUAAACCCCGAUCCACCCCACCCUCUCUUGCUCAGCCUAUAUACCGCCAUCUUCAGCAAACCCCAAUGAAGGUCACAAAGUGAGCGCAAACGCCACCACCGCGAAUACGUUAGGUCAAGGUGUAGCCUAUGAGAUGGUAAAAAAUGGGCUACAUUUUCUACCUCAGAAAAUUCCACGAAAGCCCUUAUGAAAUUUAAGGACCCAAGGAGGAUUUAGCAGUAAAUUAAGAAUAGAGUGCUUAAUUGAACUAGGCCAUAAAGCGCGC
rnacentral:rRNA from 1 species